rnacentral:rRNA from 1 species
CCUACGGGGGGCAGCAGUAGGGAAUAUUGCUCAAUGGGGGAAACCCUGAAGCAGCAACGCCGCGUGGAGGAUGAAGGUUUUAGGAUUGUAAACUCCUUUUGUGAGAGAAGAUAAGGACGGUAUCUCUCGAGUAAGCAACGGUUAACUCCGUGCCAGCAGCCGCGGUAAUACGGAGGGUGCAAGCGUUACUCGGAAUCACUGGGCGUAAAGAGUGCUGUGGCGGGCUUGUAAGUCAGAUGUGAAAUCCUGUAGCUUAACUACAGAACUGCAUUUGAAACUAUGAGUCUACAGUGUGGGAGAGGUAGGUGGAAUUCUUGGUGUAGGGGUAAAAUGCGUAGAUAUCAAGAAGAAUACUCAUUGCGAAGGCGACCUACUGGAACAUUACUGACGCUCAUGCACGAAAGCGUGGGGAGCAAACAGGAUUAGAUACCCCGGUAGUC